UCCAAGUAAUUUAUGGAGAGGCUGAAGAGGACAGGGGCUGAGAUGGAGCCCUGCAGAACCCCACUAGUGAUGGGUUACCAGCCUGAUGUUACCCCAUUCACUAUUACCCUCUGUUUCAGUGAGAAAUUAUCUGUGUUUAUGGUUUGGCUUAACUGAGUCUCCCAUAUUUGCCUAUUAAGAGAUUUCUUUCUGUGAUGGCCUUCUUCCCACCUCUAAUAAAAGUACUGAACAUCAUUAAGAAAAUGACACACCAGAAAGAAUUGGUUUUUUCCCCCAUAAUUACAGAAAGAGGAAGAAUUCAUUGGCAAGUGUCCUUGAAACUGUGAAACAGAAUUGCUGAGGUACUGCAGAAGUGUUCAGAGAAAAAGUGACCAAUCCACGUACGUCUGCUUGCAAGUUGGGUAGUCCAGACAAAAACCAGUUAAAAGGGAAAAUGGUGCCAGCCUCAAAAUCUUUGUCCAGAAAAACAAAUAAAUUUUAGUUUGAAAAACGUGUGGAUGCAGCUUGAAUGGUGCUUUCCCUAAUGGGUGCUGACCUAGAGCUGCAGAUGCUCCCCAUCCAGAACAGCUGGGAAACUGGAAACAAGAGUUCACUUCAAAACACAUGCCCACUACCAGAAGUUAA